GUGCUUGCUUUGGCUGCACAUAUACUAAAAUUGGAACGGUACAAAGAUUAUCAUGGCCCCUGUGGAAGGAUGACAUGCAAAUUUGUGAAGUGUUCCAUAUUUAA